UUUAAUCUCUGUUCUUAUCAUUGAAUAAAAUUGGAAUGGUACAGAGAAGAUUAGCACGGUCCCUGCGCAAGGAUGACAUGCUCAGUUCUUAUUAGCAUUAAUGUCUG